AUUGAACGCUGGCGGCAUGCUUUACACUUGCAAGUCGAACGGUAACAGGCCGCAAGGUGCUGACGAGUGGCGAACGGGUGAGUAAUGCAUCGGAACGUGCCCAGUCGUGGGGGAUAACGCAGCGAAAGCCGUGCUAAUACCGCAUACGAUCUAUGGAUGAAAGCGGGGGACCGUAAGGCCUCGCGCGAUUGGAGCGGCCGAUGUCAGAUUAGGUAGUUGGUGGGGUAAAGGCCCACCAAGCCAACGAUCUGUAGCUGGUCUGAGAGGACGACCAGCCACACUGGGACUGAGACACGGGCCAGACUCCUACGGGAGGCAGCAGUGGGGAAUUUUGGACAAUGGGCGCAAGCCUGAUCCAGCAAUGCCGCGUGCAGGAAGAAGGCCUUCGGGUUGUAAACUGCUUUUGUACGGAACGAAACGGUCUGGGUUAAUACCCUGGGCUAAUGACGGUACCGUAAGAAUAAGCACCGGCUAACUACGUGCCAGCCGCCGCAGUAAAAC
rnacentral:rRNA from 1 species